rnacentral:rRNA from 1 species
GAACGGUAACAGGAAGAAGCUUGCUUCUUUGCUGACGAGUGGCGGACGGGUGAGUAAUGUCUGGGAAACUGCCUGAUGGAGGGGGAUAACUACUGGAAACGGUAGCUAAUACCGCAUAACGUCGCAAGACCAAAGAGGGGGACCUUCGGGCCUCUUGCCAUCGGAUGUGCCCAGAUGGGAUUAGCUAGUAGGUGGGGUAACGGCUCACCUAGGCGACGAUCCCUAGCUGGUCUGAGAGGAUGACCAGCCACACUGGAACUGAGACACGGUCCAGACUCCUACGGGAGGCAGCAGUGGGGAAUAUUGCACAAUGGGCGCAAGCCUGAUGCAGCCAUGCCGCGUGUAUGAAGAAGGCCUUAGGGUUGUAAAGUACUUUCAGCGGGGAGGAAGGGAGUAAAGUUAAUACCUUUGCUCAUUGACGUUACCCGCAGAAGAAGCACCGGCUAACUCCGUGCCAGCAGCCGCGGUAAUACGGAGGGUGCAAGCGUUAAUCGGAAUUACUGGGCGUAAAGCGCACGCAGGCGGUUUGUUAAGUCAGAUGUGAAAUCCCCGGGCUCAACCUGGGAACUGCAUCUGAUACUGGCAAGCUUGAGUCUCGUAGAGGGGGGUAGAAUUCCAGGUGUAGCGGUGAAGUGCGUAGAGAUCUGGAGGAAUACCGGUGGCGAAGGCGGCCCCCUGGACGAAGACUGACGC